rnacentral:rRNA from 1 species
CACGCCGUAAACGAUGAAUGCCAGUCGUCGGUGCGCAUGCGUAUCGGUGACACACCUAACGGAUUAAGCAUUCCGCCUGGGGAGUACGGUCGCAAGAGUGAAACUUAAAGGAAUUGACGGGGGCCCGCACAAGCAGUGGAGCAUGUGGUUUAAUUCGACGCUACGCGAAGAACCUUACCAGGACUUGACAUGGAAUUUAAAACUCUAGAGAUAGAGCCAUAACAAGUUCACACAGGUGG